GUGUCAGCCGCCGCGGUAAAACGUAGGAGGCGAGCGUUAUCCGGAUUUACUGGGUGUAAAGCGCGUGCAGGCGGUCUUUCAAGUGGUGCGUGAAAGCGCCCGGCUCAACCGGGCGAGGCCGUGCCAGACUGAGGGACUAGAGUGAGGUAGAGGCGUGUGGAAUUCCGGGUGUAGUGGUGAAAUGCGUAGAGAUCCGGAGGAACACCAGAGGCGAAGGCGACACGCUGGGCCUACACUGACGCUCAGACGCGAAAGCAUGGGGAGCGAACGGGAUUAGAUACCCUUGUAGUCC
rnacentral:rRNA from 1 species